rnacentral:tRNA from 1 species
GCGCCAGUAGCUCAGCGGAUUAGAGCACUUGUCUUCGGAACAAGGUGUCGGGGGUUCGAAUCCCUCCUGGCGCA